UCCCAUUGUUUUAUUUACCCUGUUGCUUCCACUGGAUGAGUUUCCAUACCUUGUGUUUGAGAAACUUUGGCUUGUGUAAGAUUCAUUCACGGCCAGCCAGUGAGAAGACCAUUUACAAAACCCUGUUAAGAACCAAUUGUCUGAAUAUUUUACUCCAAUGAAAUGAAACUUUCAACAACGGAUCUCUAGGCUCUUGCAUCGAUGAAGAACGCAGUGAAAUGCGAUAAGUAAUGUGAAUUGCAGAAUCUCGUGAAUCAUCGAAUCUUUGAACGCACAUUGCGCCCCAUGGUAUUCCAUAGGGCAUGCCUGUCUGAGCGUCAGCUCACCCCCCCCUCACACUCAAGCAUCUAUUGUAUGAUGCUUGGAUUGCUUUGGAGAGGUAUCAUUUUAAAGUGAAGCCCUCCAGAAAUAUAUAGGCUGUAUGGUUUGCACUAGAACCAGACGUAAUAAUGAUAAAAUCGUCUAUUCUGGUAGAAUCAUUGUACUUGCCUUUGAAUCACCCAUUGAUUUUGGGUGACCUCAGAUCAGGUAGGGAUACCCGCUGAACUUAAGCAUAUCAAUAG
rnacentral:rRNA from 1 species